UGGAAGGAGUGAUCAAUCUUGCCAUCAUUGGAGAAAUCAUAAUCUAGGGUUUCGAUGUGGGUGAGGUGGCAACAAGAAGGAAGGUGGUGAACUCAGCUUUUGGGUUAGAGAGAGGGCCAUAAUUGUUUGACUAGGGGUUUGAGUAGUACAUUUUUUUGUGAAAAUUGAUUGGUUUUGGGAAGGGCAAAGAGUAAAGAGAGGGGUUUUCCUUUGAACUCUAGAAAUAUAGAAAUUAGUUUUUAAGAUUUUAUGGGUUUUUAAGAUACUUCAAAUGGAUUGGUGAAGUAAAG
rnacentral:misc_RNA from 1 species